rnacentral:rRNA from 1 species
AUACGGAGGGUGCGAGCGUUAAUCGGAAUUACUGGGCGUAAAGCGUACGUAGGCGGUUGGUUAAGUUAGAUGUGAAAGCCCCGGGCUUAACCUGGGAACUGCAUUUAAAACUGGCGAACUAGAGUUGAGUAGAGGGGAGUGGAAUUUCAGGUGUAGCGGUGAAAUGCGUAGAGAUCUGAAGGAACACCAGUGGCGAAGGCGACUCCCUGGACUCAAACUGACGCUGAGGUACGAAAGCGUGGGUAGCAAACGGGAUUAGAAACCCUAGUAGUCC